UUUUAAUUUAAAUUAACUUUUAAUUUUGAUAGAAAAAAUUAAUGAGCUCAGGCUCUUGGCUUGUUUAUAUAAUAAACGAGCCAACCUCGAGUUUUUGGCUCGUUUAUAUUAUAAACGAGCUUGCAAUGAGCCAAGCUCGAAUCGAGCUUGCAAUUAGCUGACCUUGGAUCGAGCUUGAAUUUAGUAUUUGUAUAACGAUCCGAGCUCGAGCUGUACUAUUAAAGAUCGAGCCUGAACAAAAAUAAAUGAGCCAAGCCUAAACUAUUCAAAACUCAGCUCGGUUUGGUUUGUUUAGACCUCUAUCUAAAACAAGAAAAUGAGAAGAGAAUUCAAG
rnacentral:misc_RNA from 1 species